GUACCGGAACGUCGGAGUGUACGUUAGUACGUGUAUACGAGCGCGAGACGAGACCGCUGGGCGGGCGUGACCCUAACACAGUGCGAAGUCGAGGCGGAGUCGAUCGGACGGAAGGCCUUCGGGGCGGAAGAGUGGUUUGACUUAGCGGCGGAUGGGUGAGUAACGCGUGGGCAACCUGCCUCGAAGACCGGGAUAACAGACCGAAAGGGCUGCUAAUACCGGAUGUGGUCAAGGAUCCGCAUGGAUCUUUGAUUAAAGGGGAAACCCGUUUCGAGAUGGGCCCGCGUCCUAUCAGCUAGUUGGUGAGGUAAAAGCUCACCAAGGCGACGACGGGUAGCCGGCCUGAGAGGGUGACCGGCCACACUGGAACUGAGACACGGUCCAGACUCCUACGGGGGGCAGCAGUGGGGAAUCUUCCACAAUGGGCGAAAGCCUGAUGGAGCGACGCCGCGUGAGCGAAGAAGGCCUUCGGGUUGUAAAGCUCUGUCUGGAGGGACGAAGGAAGUGACGGUACCUCCGGAGGAAGCCACGGCUAACUACGUG
rnacentral:rRNA from 1 species